rnacentral:rRNA from 1 species
GGGGAAUUUUGGACAAUGGGGGCAACCCUGAUCCAGCCAUGCCGCGUGAGUGAAGAAGGCCUUCGGGUUGUAAAGCUCUUUCAGCCGGGAAGAAAUCACAUGGGUUAAUACCCUGUGUGGAUGACGGUACCGGAAUAAGAAGCACCGGCUAACUACGUGCCAGCAGCCGCGGUAAUACGUAGGGUGCGAGCGUUAAUCGGAAUUACUGGGCGUAAAGCGUGCGCAGGCGGUUUGUUAAGAUAGGCGUGAAAUCCCCGGGCUCAACCUGGGAACUGCGUUUAUGACUGGCAGGCUAGAGUAUGGCAGAGGGGGGUGGAAUUCCACGUGUAGCAGUGAAAUGCGUAGAGAUGUGGAGGAACACCGAUGGCGAAGGCAGCCCCCUGGGCCAAUACUGACGCUCAUGCACGAAAGCGUGGGUAGCAAAC